rnacentral:rRNA from 1 species
UACGAAGGGGGCUAGCGUUGCUCGGAAUCACUGGGCGUAAAGGGUGCGUAGGCGGGUCUUUAAGUCAGAGGUGAAAUCCUGGAGCUCAACUCCAGAACUGCCUUUGAUACUGAGGGUCUUGAGUUCGGGAGAGGUGAGUGGAACUGCGAGUGGAGAGGUGAAAUUCGUAGAUAUGCGCAAGAACACCAGUGGCGAAGGCGGCUCACUGGCCCGUAACUGACGCUCAGGCGCGAUAGCGUGGGGAUCAAACAGG